GAGGCUGCAAGAUCCACAGCCCCAAGUGGCCCUCCUCACCUCCCUCUUAUUACCUACAGUCUGCUCUGGCCCUGGCCCUUGGCUCCCUAGCUCUGACUUUUCACAGGCACCUUCGGCCCUCCAGCGAAUCUCAACCUUGCCCAGGAACCUCGGGACCAGGAGGAAGGACCCUCCUCAGAUAGCCUGGAACUUCGUGGCACUGUCCAUGGAGAGGGAGAGCCAACCAGUGAUGAAAAGCUCCCGGAUGUGGGCCCUUCAGCCCUGGAAGGAACGGAGAGAAUUGGAGGCUGAGCUGGGCAGGCACUGGAUGGACCUAGAGAUGGGGGACACGAGGCCCCAGGAGGAGGAGGAGGAGGAGGAGGAAGAGGGGUCUCUGAGCUUCCUUCCUGCCCCAAAGGGCUGGGGCCAAGGCCAAGCAAUCAAGGCCAUAUGGAGAGGCCAGCUGGGCCUGAUGAAGCAGCUGCUGAGGCAGGGGGCCUGCAUCAAUGACAGGGAUCCAGCAGGCCGGACCCUGCUCCAUCACGCAG
rnacentral:lncRNA from 1 species